AAACUAUCCAGACGUUGGCAACAUUAUUUGAUAGCUGGCCUGGGAUGGACAAUGACAUCUCAUCGUGCAACAAGGAAUGUGUCUGGCUAUUUUGUUUUUCAUUUUAUGCUCUGGUGGAACGGUAAAGAAUUGGUCAAGCCGAUUUGCACGGAUGGGUAUGAAUUGAGGAAGCAGUUUUUAUUACACUUGCUAAAACAUCGUGGGAAUGAAGCUAAAGGAAACUUUCCUGAUAUUGUGAAAGAAUUACUUAAGCGCAUCAUCUAGAUAUUAAUAGUUUUGUAAUAGAUGUUUAGUUGGAACAUCGCUCGGUUUGUUACAUGGACAUGUCGUUAAUUUUUCUUCAUGUUAUCAAUUUACA